GGUUGGGUGAAUUAUUAGUUCACUUUCAAGAGAUUGGACUUCUGGGGUGGGAAGCU
rnacentral:ncRNA from 12 species